AGGGAAUAGAUGAGUGAGAAAGAAGACAUCUCAGAAGAUGCCGGAGUUAGAAGCAACAGAUGGGAGGGUAUAAGAUGCUGCAAUCUGUUUGCUGACUCUAUUCGGUAAAAGUUUAAAACCAGAAGCUCCGAGAAGAUGGGUCCAGGUUUUCCAUUAAAUACAGCAUAUCAGGAGAGGCUCGAGAGCCAGCCACAAUGUUGAUUCCACUGGUCUCUGAAGAUGUUUCUGUGUCAGGUAAGAGAAUGGGC